CAGUAGCCGCGGUAAUACAGAGGGUGCGAGCGUUAAUCGGAUUUACUGGGCGUAAAGCGUGCGUAGGCGGCUUUUUAAGUCGGAUGUGAAAUCCCUGAGCUUAACUUAGGAAUUGCAUUCGAUACUGGGAAGCUAGAGUAUGGGAGAGGAUGGUAGAAUUCCAGGUGUAGCAGUGAAAUGCGUAGAGAUCUGGAGGAAUACCGAUGGCGAAGGCAGCCAUCUGGCCUAAUACUGACGCUGAGGUACGAAAGCAUGGGGAGCAAACAGGAUUAGAUACCCGUGUAGUCCCUGUCUCUUAUAC
rnacentral:rRNA from 1 species